UGGGGAAUAUUGCACAAUGGGCGCAAGCCUGAUGCAGCCAUGCCGCGUGUGUGAAGAAGGCCUUCGGGUUGUAAAGCACUUUCAGCGAGGAGGAAGGUGGUGAGCUUAAUACGCUCAUCAAUUGACGUUACUCGCAGAAGAAGCACCGGCUAACUCCGUGCCAGCAGCCGCGGUAAUACGGAGGGUGCAAGCGUUAAUCGGAAUUACUGGGCGUAAAGCGCACGCAGGCGGUUUGUUAAGUCAGAUGUGAAAUCCCCGGGCUCAACCUGGGAACUGCAUUUGAAACUGGCAAGCUAGAGUCUCGUAGAGGGGGGUAGAAUUCCAGGUGUAGCGGUGAAAUGCGUAGAGAUCUGGAGGAAUACCGGUGGCGAAGGCGGCCCCCCUGGACGAAGACUGACGCUCAGGUGCGAAAGCGUGGGGCAGCAAACAGGAUUAGAUACCCUGGUAGUCCACGCUGUAAACGAUGUCGAUUUUGGAGGUUGUGCCCUUGAGGCGUGGCUUCCGGAGCUAACGCGUUAAAUCGACCGCCUGGGGAGUACGGCCGCAAGGUU
rnacentral:rRNA from 1 species